UCAAUCCGCCCAGUGACGAAAGUUAAACGGCCGCGGUAUCCUAACCGUGCAAAGGUAGCAUAAUCAUUUGCCUAUUAAUUGUAGGCUAGUAUGAACGGAAAAACGAAAUAAAAACUGUCUCUAUUAAUUAUCUAAAAAUUAUCCCCUAUAUGAAGAGAUAUAGAUAUAUUCGAAGGACAAGAAGACCCUAUAGAGCUUUAUUUAAACAUAGUAAUAAACUAUUAAAAAUUCGGUUGGGGCGACCGCGGAAUCUUAAAACAUCCGAAAAAGAAUAGACAAAUAAGUCAAAUAUUUGACCCUAAUAAGAUCAGAAAACCAAGCUACCUUAGGGAUAACAGGCUAAUCCCAUUAAAGAGUUCAUAUCAACAAUGGGGAUUGGCACCUCCAUGUUGGCUUAGGGUCUCAGUAUAACGCAAAAGUUAUACAAGAUGGUUUGUUCAACCAAUAACUC
rnacentral:rRNA from 1 species